rnacentral:tRNA from 1 species
GGGGACGUAGCUCAGCUGGGAGAGCGCUGCCUUCGCAAGGCAGAGGUCGGGAGUUCGAUCCUCCUCGUCUCCACCA